CCUCCUGAACGGAGGCUCAAACCGAACGGCCGCAAAUCCCUUCACAAGUUGUGGGAUUAGCCAAGGGGGAAUCCAUGAAGCUAAUAUUGGUGGGAGACCGAUAGCGUACAGUACCGUGAGGAAAGAUGCAAAGAACUUUGAAAAGAGAGUUAAAUACGAAAUUGAAAUGGAAGCGAAGGAAACCAGUGUCGUGCGUGUUUAUUUCCUUGUCCAUUUAUGGGCUUGCGCGUGGCUGCGGCAGUUGGUU
rnacentral:rRNA from 2 species